rnacentral:lncRNA from 10 species
AAAAUCAAAUUGGCCAGUAUGAUGGCUCACACCUGUAAUGCCAGCAUUUUGGGAGGCCGAGGCUGGCAGAUUGUUAGAGCCAGGAGUUUGAGACUAGCCUGGGCACCAUGGCGAAACCCCAUCUCUACCAAAACAAACAAAAACAACAACAUGUAAAUUAGCUAGUCCCAGCUACUCAGGUGACUGAGGUGGAAGGAUCCCUUCAGCCUGGGAGGUUCAGGCUGCAGGGACCUGCAAUCACCACUGCACUCCAGCCCAGGUGACAGAGCGAGACCCUGUCUCAAAAAACAACAAUAACAACACAAUUUUAUUUAGGUAUGAUUUAUGUAAUAAAAUGCACAUUUUAAGUGUACAGUUCAAAUGGUUUUGCCAAAGGAAUAUGCCCAUGUUACCACCACAAUUAAGAUGUAUUAUAGCCGGGCGCGGUGGCUCACGCUUGUAAUCCCAGCACUUUGGGAGGCCGAGGCGGGUGGAUCAUGAGGUCAGGAGAUCGAGGCCACGGUGAAAUCCCGUCUCUACUAAAAAUACAAAAAAUUAGCCGGGUGUGGUGGUGGGCACCUGUAGUCCCAGCUGCUCGGAGAGGCUGAGGCAGGAGAAUGGCGUGAACCCGAGAGGCGGAGCUUGCAGUGAGCCGCGAUUGCGCCACUGCACUCCAGCCUGGGCAACAGAGCGAGACUCCGUCUCAAUUAAAAAAAAAAAAAAAGAUAUAUUAUAGAACAAUGGCCAGGCACGGUGGCUCAUGCCUGUAAUCAAUCCCAGCACUUUGGGAGGCCGAAGCAGGUGGAUCACUUGAGGUCAGGAGUUCAAGACCAGCCUGGCCAACACGGUGAAACCCCAUGUCUACUAAAAAUACAAAAAAAUUAGCUGGAUGUGGUGGCUCGUGCCUGUAAUUCCAGCUACUUGGGAGGCUGAGGUGGGAGAAUAACUUGAACCCAGUAGGCAGAGAUUGUAAUGAGCUGAGAUUGUGCCACUGCACUCCAGCCUGGGUGACAGAACAAGACUCCAUCUAAAAAAAAAAAAAGAAAGAAAGAAAAAUAUAAGAUAUAGAACAAACCCCAAACCCCAUAUUAUUUUGUUUUGCUUUGUUUGUUUUUUAGAGACAGGUCUUGCUCUGUUGCCCAGACUGGAGUGCAGUGAUGCGACCUCGGCUCACUGCAACCUCUGGGGUUCAAGUGAUUUUCAUACCUUAGCCACCUGAGUAGCUGAGACUACAAACGUGUGCCAUCACGCACGGCUAAUUUUUGUAUUUUUUUGUAGAUAUAGGGUUUCACUAUGUUGCCCAGGCUGGUCUCAAACUCCUGGGCUCAAACAAUCCUCCUGCCUUGGCCUCCCAAACUGUUGGGAUUACAGGUGCGAGCCACUGUGCCCAACCUAGAACAAACCCCAUGUUAUUUUUAGGCAAAUCCAAGACAUCACAUAAUUUCAUUCCUAAAUAUUUCAAUACAUAUUUCUAUAAGGACCCUUUAAAAGUAAACAUAACCCCAACAUUAUUAUCAAACCUAAAAAAAAUUAACAAUUGGCCGGGCACAGUGGCUUAUGCCUGUAAUCCCAGCACUUUGGGAGGCCAAGGCGGGUGGAUCACCCAAGGUCAGGAGUUCGAGACUAGCCUGAUCAAUAUGGUGAAACCCUGUCUCUAUUAAAAAUACAAAAAAUAAUCAGCCGGGCAUGGUGGCAUGCACCUGUAGUCCCAGAAACUCAGGAGACUGAGACGGAAGAAUUGCUUGAACCUGGGAG